UCCCUGCAGAGGAAGACUCCAGUGUUUAGAAACAAGGGUCUUGUUUGUAGUUGGAAACAUCCCCACUUCAUUUAAGGUGAAAAACUUGGAACACUGUAUCUUAGCACAGAACUUUCACCAUGACAGCACUACAGAUUGCUCUACCAGAUGGCUCCAACGUGGGGUUACAAUAUGUUUGCAGCACUCCCUUAACCAGGAGACCUGCGCUUUCCUGGAUGGAGAUGGAAGAGGAAGGGAUUGGGCAGAGGCUGUGGCCUGGAUGUAAAAUAAAUAGAUGAAUAAAAAAUGAAACAAAGAAAAACGGAAGUGACUAAACAGUAAGCAGAAUUACCACUGGCAUUCUGGCAUUCCCCCAAAGUAGAUUUGGGAAGGAUGGAGUCCAAAAUGUAAAAUAAACUGGGGAAUUAUGCAUGAUUAAAAACA
rnacentral:lncRNA from 1 species